ACGGAGGGUGCAAGCGUUAUCCGGAUUUAUUGGGUUUAAAGGGUGCGUAGGCGGUAAGAUAAGUCAGUGGUGAAAAUCUGCAGCUCAACUGUAGUCGUGCCAUUGAAACUGUUUUACUUGAGUAACCAGGAGGUAGGCGGAAUGUGUAGUGUAGCGGUGAAAUGCUUAGAUAUUACACAGAACACCGAUUGCGUAGGCAGCUUACUAUCGGUUCACUGACGCUGAUGCACGAAAGCGUGGGGAUCAAACAGGAUUAGAUACCCUGGUAGUCCACGCCGUAAACGAUGAUAACUCGCUGUUGGCGAUACACAGUCAGCGGCUUAGCGAAAGCGUUAAGUUAUCCACCUGGGGAGUACGCCCGCAAGGGUG
rnacentral:rRNA from 1 species